UACGGAGGGGGCUAGCGUUGUUCGGAAUUACUGGGCGUAAAGCGCACGUAGGCGGAUCGGAAAGUCGGGGGUGAAAUCCCGGGGCUCAACCCCGGAACGGCCUCCGAAACUCCCGGUCUGGAGUCCGAGAGAGGUGAGUGGAAUUCCGAGUGUAGAGGUGAAAUUCGUAGAUAUUCGGAGGAACACCAGUGGCGAAGGCGGCUCACUGGCUCGGUACUGACGCUGAGGUGCGAAAGCGUGGGGAGCAAACAGG
rnacentral:rRNA from 1 species